rnacentral:rRNA from 1 species
AUUGAACGCUGGCGGCAGGCUUAACACAUGCAAGUCGAGCGAGCGGCGGACGGGUGAGUAAUGGCUGGGAAACUGCCUGAUGGAGGGGGAUACCUACUGGAAACGGUAGCUAAUACCGCAUACAAUCAGAUGUGCCCAUAUGGGCUGAGCUAGUAGGUGGGGUAAUGGGGCACCUAGGCGAAGGUCCCUAGCUGGUCUGAGAGGAGGACCAGCCACACUGGAACGGAGACACGGUCCAGACUCCUACGGGAGGCAGCAGGGGGGAAUAUUGCACAAUGGGCGCAAGCCUGAUGCAGCCAUGCCGCGUGUGUGAAGAAGGCCUUCGGGUUGGAAAGCACUUUCAGCGAGGAGGCGUUACUCGCAGAAGAAGCACCGGCUAACUCCGUGCCAGCCGCCGCGGUAAUUC